rnacentral:rRNA from 1 species
GACGAACGCUGGCGGCGUGCUUAACACAUGCAAGUCGAACGGAAAGGCCCUGCUUUUGUGGGGUGCUCGAGUGGCGAACGGGUGAGUAACACGUGAGUAACCUGCCCUUCACUGUGGGAUAACUUCAGGAAACUGGGGAUAAUACCGGAUAGGUGCUCCUGCUGCAUGGUGGGGGUUGGAAAGUUUAGGCGGUUGGGGAUGGACUCGCGGCUUUUCAGCUUUUUGGUGGGGUAGUGGCUUACCAAGGCUUUGACGGGUAGCCGGCCUGAGAGGGUGACCGGCCACACUGGGACUGAGAGACGGCCCAGACUCCUACGGGAGGCAGCAGUGGGGAAUAUAUCACAAUGGGCGGAAGCCUGAUGCAGCAACGCCGCGUGCGGGAUAAGGGCGUUCGGGGUGUAAACCGCUUUCGCCUGUGACGAAGCGUAAGUGACGGUAAUGGGUAAAGAAGCACCGGCUAACUACGUG